rnacentral:lncRNA from 1 species
CACACACACACACACAUAUCACAUUUUCUUUAUCCAUUUGUCUAUUGAUGGGUAUGUAGACUCAUUCCAGAACUUGUGGAUUGUGCUCAUGCUGAUGGAGACAUUGGUAUGUAUCACUACAGUAUGAUUAUUUUAGUUCUUUUGGAUAAAUACCAAGCAGUGGGGCAGGGGGAUAGCUGGGUCAUGUGGUGGUUUUAUUCCUAGUCUUUUAAGGAAUCUCCAUACUGCUUUCCAAAGUGAUUGUAAUAAUUUGCAGGUCCACCAACAAUACAUUAAGUGUAACUUUUCCCCAUAUUCUUGCCAUAAAUUAUUGGUAUUUGUAGUCUUGCUGAUUAUCCUUCUAACUGGAGUGAGAUGAAAUCUCAGUGUAGUUUUGCAUUUUCCUGAUUGUUAAGAAUGCUGAUCAUUUCUUCAUAAAUUUGUUGGCCAUUUGUACUUCUUUUGAGAAAUGUCUGCUAUCUCAUUUGUUCAUUUAUUGAUUGUGUUGUUAUUAUUAUUAUUAUUAUUAUUAUUAUUAUUUUGGUGUCAAGCUUUUUGAGUUCUUUAUAUAUUCUGGAUAUUAAUCCCCUGUUACAAGAGUAGCUGGCAAAGAUUUUUCUUGCAUUCUUGUUUCCUUUGGUGUGAAGAAGCCAAUUUAUUCUCCCCAUACUUUUAUUGUUCCAUUUUAUAAUUAUAUAUAAUGGUGGGAUUCAUUGUUACAUAUUUGUAUGUGCACACAAUAUAACAGUGUAAUUUGGUUGAUAUUUUCCCCUAGUAUUUCCUCUUUUCCUCUCAUUCUCCAUCCCCCUUGUCCCUUUCCUCUAUUCUACUGGUCUCCAUUCUAUGUUCAUGAGAGCUAACCCACUCCCAACCCUUUUUUUUUUCUCUGUAACUUCCACAUGUGAGAGGAAAAGUGUGACCUUUGACUUUCUGCAUUUGGUUUAUUUCAUUUAAUGUAAUUCUCUCAAGUUCUAACCAUUUUCC